rnacentral:rRNA from 1 species
GACGAACGCUGGCGGCGUGCCUAACACAUGCAAGUCGAGCGAUGAAGCUCCUUCGGGAGUGAAUUAGCGGCGGACGGGUGAGUAACACGUGGGUAACCUGCCUCAUAGAGGGGAAUAGCCUUCCGAAAGGGAGAUUAAUACCGCAUAACAUAGCACUACCGCAUGGUAGAGUUAUCAAAGGAGCAAUCCGCUAUGAGAUGGACCCGCGGCGCAUUAGCUAGUUGGUGAGGUAACGGCUCACCAAGGCGACGAUGCGUAGCCGACCUGAGAGGGUGAUCGGCCACAUUGGAACUGAGACACGGCCCAAACUCCUACGGGAGGCAGCAGUGGGGAAUAUUGCACAAUGGGGGAAACCCUGAUGCAGCAACGCCGCGUGAGUGAUGACGGCCUUCGGGUUGUAAAGCUCUGUCUUCAGGGACGAUAAUGACGGUACCUGAGGAGGAAGCCACGGCUAACUACGUGCCAGCCGCCGCAGUAAUAC